CCUACGGGAGGCAGCAGUGGGGAAUCUUGCGCAAUGGGCGAAAGCCUGACGCAGCCACGCCGCGUGCGGGAUGAAGGCCCUAGGGUUGUAAACCGCUUUUAACAGGAACGAAAAUGACGGUACCUGUAGAAUAAGGUGCGGCCAACUACGUGCCAGCAGCCGCGGUGACACGUAGGCACCAAGCGUUGUCCGGAUUUAUUGGGCGUAAAGAGCUCGUAGGCGGUUCAGUAAGUCGGGUGUGAAAACUCUGGGCUUAACCCAGAGACGCCACUCGAUACUAUUGUGACUAGAGUUCGGUAGGGGAGCGGGGAAUUCCUAGUGUAGCGGUGAAAUGCGCAGAUAUUAGGAGGAACACCGGUGGCGAAGGCGCCGCUCUGGGCCGAUACUGACGCUGAGGAGCGAAAGCGUGGGUAGCAAACAGGAUUAGAUACCCUGGUAGUCCACGCCGUAAACGGUGGGCACUAGGUGUGGGUUCCAACCAACGGAAUCCGCGCCGUCGCUAACGCAUAGUGCCCGCCGUCGGGAGGUACGGCCGGCGAACGGUUAAAACGUACGAAGUAGAAGUAGUACGGCGUGAGACGUGUCCGAACGGACGACGACGAGGGGAGGUAGG
rnacentral:rRNA from 1 species